rnacentral:rRNA from 1 species
AUGCAGUCGAGCGGUAGCAGGUCCUUCGGGAUGCUGACGAGCGGCGGACGGGUGAGUAAUGCAUAGGAAUCUGCCCGGUAGUGGGGGAUAACCUGGGGAAACCCAGGCUAAUACCGCAUACGUCCUACGGGAGAAAGGGGGCUUCGGCUCCCGCUAUUGGAUGAGCCUAUGUCGGAUUAGCUAGUUGGUGAGGUAAUGGCUUACCAAGGCAACGAUCCGUAGCUGGUCUGAGAGGAUGAUCAGCCACAUCGGGACUGAGACACGGCCCGAACUCCUACGGGAGGCAGCAGUGGGGAAUAUUGGACAAUGGGGGCAACCCUGAUCCAGCCAUGCCGCGUGUGUGAAGAAGGCCCUCGGGUUGUAAAGCACUUUCAGCGAGGAAGAACGCCUAGCGGUUAAUACCCGCUAGGAAAGACAUCACUCGCAGAAGAAGCACCGGCUAACUCCGUGCCAGCAGCCGCGGUAAUACGGAGGGUGCAAGCGUUAAUCGGAAUUACUGGGCGUAAAGCGCGCGUAGGUGGCUUGAUAAGCCGGUUGUGAAAGCCCCGGGCUCAACCUGGGAACGGCAUCCGGAACUGUCAGGCUAGAGUGCAGGAGAGGAAGGUAGAAUUCCCGGUGUAGCGGUGAAAUGCGUAGAGAUCGGGAGGAAUACCAGUGGCGAAGGCGGCCUUCUGGACUGACACUGACACUGAGGUGCGAAAGCGUGGGUAGCAAACAGGAUUAGAUACCCUGGUAGUCCACGCCGUAAACGAUGUCNACCAGCCGUUGGGUGCCUAGCGCACUUUGUGGCGAAGUUAACGCGAUAAGUCGACCGCCUGGGGAGUACGGCCGCAAGGUUAAAACUCAAAUGAAUUGACGGGGGCCCGCACAAGCGGUGGAGCAUGUGGUUUAAUUUCNAUGCANCGCGAAGAANCUUACCUACCCUUGACAUC